AAGACAAAUAUUGGAGGCACCACGGCAGAGCUGUAAUCAGGUUAAAGGACUUUGUGCUCUUACUAGCAGAGUGGAACUGAAAUUGCAUUUGCUCUUCUCCCUGACCAGCUGGUCUUACUUCUGGAGUUGCUUUUGGAGGAGAAGACGCUGUGUCCUAGAAUACUGCAGUGCUUAGAGAAAACAUACCAGCUCCGGGAGCAAGAUGCUGAGGUUCGUCAUCGGUGGUGUGAACUUGUCAUUAAACACAAAUACGAGCCUGGGUAUGGAGAUGUUGAGAGUCCUCAGAGGAGGAUCAGGUAAGUUACAUUUAACUAACCAUUUUGAAAGCAAUCAACAUUUUAACACCCUUAGGCUGAAAAUAAAGACAUAUUUUAAAAUAUUUUCU
rnacentral:lncRNA from 1 species